AUGUUCUCGUCGCAGUCACUCAGCCGCGUCAACAACAUCCGCACAGCGCUGAUUAAUGCGCAGAAGGGCAAUCAAUCGGUGGCCACCUUCUUCGCCGCCAUGAGGGGUCUCGCCGAUGAACUCGCCGCGGCGGGAAAACCCAUCCAGGAUGACGAGCUCAUCUCCUACAUCAUCCACGGGCUGGACCAAGAGUACCAGCCCCUCGUCUCCGCACUAGAUGCCCGUGUCACCCCGGUAACCCUCGAUGAACUUUUUGCCAUGCUCAGUAACUUUGAUCAACGUAUGGCGCAGUAUCAUGGCUCCGGCGGUGGCUUCAAAUCGUCGGCCAACUCUGCAUCCAAAGGCCGCGGUGGUGGCUCUCGCUCGCGCUCAUCUUCCCGCGGCAAGGGGAGGUUUGGCGCCGGCGGUGGCGGCUACUCCAACAGCUCACGCGGUGGCGGACGCUCCGGUAACUUCAAAGGGCGUCGUGGUGGUGGCAGUGGUGGUUCCAACAGGUCCCGUCCGGACUUGCCUCGCUGCCAAAUCUGUGGCAAACCUGGUCAUACGGCAAAGGAC
rnacentral:rRNA from 1 species